UACGUAGGGGGCGAGCGUUGUCCGGAUUUAUUGGGCGUAAAGAGCUCGUAGGCGGUUUGUCGCGUCUGUCGUGAAAGCUUGGGGCUUAACCCCAAGUCUGCGGUGGAUACGGGCAGACUAGAGGCAGGUAGGGGAGAACGGAAUUCCCGGUGUAGCGGUGAGAUGCGCAGAUAUCGGGAGGAACACCGGUGGCGAAGGCGGUUCUCUGGGCCUGUACUGACGCUGAGGAGCGAAAGCGUGGGGAGCGAACAGG
rnacentral:rRNA from 1 species